AAUCAACGCUGGCGGCGUGCCUCAGACAUGCAAGUCGAACGCGAAAGGCCCCUUCGGGGGCCCGGUAGAGUGGCGCACGGGUGAGUAACACGUAGGUAGUUUGCCUUCGGGUGGGGAAUAACAGCCGGAAACGGCUGCUAAUACCGCAUAAUGCAGCGGCUCGACAUCGAGACAGUUGUUAAAGCGGGGGAUCGCAAGACCUCGCGCCUGAAGAGAAGCCUGCGGCAGAUAGCUUGUUGGUGAGGUAAUGGCUCACCAAGGCGACGAUCUGUAACCGGCCUGAGAGGGCGGUCGGUCACACUGACACUGACAUACGGGUCAGACUCCUACGGGAGGCAGCAGUCGGGAAUUUUGGGCAAUGGGCGAAAGCCUGACCCAGCAACGCCGCGUGAAGGAUGAAAU
rnacentral:rRNA from 1 species